GACGAACGCUGGCGGCGUGCUUAGCACAUGCAAGUCGAACGGAAAGGCCCUGCUUUUGUGGGGUGCUCGAGUGGCGAACGGGCGAGUAACACGUGAGUAACCUGCCCUUGACUUUGGGAUAACUUCAGGAAACUGGGGCUAAUACCGGAUAGGAGCUCCUGCUGCAUGGUGGGGGUUGGAAAGUUUCGGCGGUUGGGGAUGGACUCGCGGCUUAUCAGCUUGUUGGUGGGGUAGUGGCUUACCAAGGCUUUGACGGGUAGCCGGCCUGAGGGGGUGACCGGCCACAUUGGGACUGAGAUACGGCCCAGACUCCUACGGGAGGCAGCAGUGGGGAAUAUUGCACAAUGGGCGGAAGCCUGAUGCAGCAACGCCGCGUGCGGGAUGACGGCCUUCGGGUUGUAAACCGCUUUCGCCUGUGACGAAGCGUGAGUGACGGUAAUGGGUAAAGAAGCACCGGCUAACUACGUG
rnacentral:rRNA from 1 species